UACGUAGGGUCCGAGCGUUGUCCGGAAUUACUGGGCGUAAAGAGCUCGUAGGUGGUUUGUCGCGUUGUCCGUGAAAACUCACAGCUCAACUGUGGGCGUGCGGGCGAUACGGGCAGACUGGAGUACUGCAGGGGAGACUGGAAUUCCUGGUGUAGCGGUGGAAUGCGCAGAUAUCAGGAGGAACACCGGUGGCGAAGGCGGGUCCCUGGACAACACCUGACACUAAGGCACGAAAGCUAGGGGAGCAAACAGG
rnacentral:rRNA from 1 species